CGAACGGGUGAGUAACGCGUGAGGAACCUGCCUCAAAGAGGGGGACAACAGUUGGAAACGACUGCUAAUACCGCAUAAGCCCACGGCUCGGCAUCGAGCAGAGGGAAAAGGAGUGAUCCGCUUUGAGAUGGCCUCGCGUCCGAUUAGCUAGUUGGUGAGGUAACGGCCCACCAAGGCAACGAUCGGUAGCCGGACUGAGAGGUUGAACGGCCACAUUGGGACUGAGACACGGCCCAA
rnacentral:rRNA from 1 species